rnacentral:rRNA from 1 species
UACGGGGGGGGCAAGCGUUGUUCGGAAUUACUGGGCGUAAAGGGCUCGUAGGCGGCCAACUAAGUCGGAUGUGAAAUCCCCAGGCUUAACCUGGGAACUGCAUCCGAUACUGGAUGGCUUGAAUCCGGGAGAGGGAUGCAGAAUUCCAGGUGUAGCGGUGAAAUGCGUAGAUAUCUGGAGGAACACCGGUGGCGAAGGCGGCAUCCUGGACCAAUUCUGACGCUGAGGAGCGAAAGCGUGGGGAGCGAACAGG